rnacentral:lncRNA from 1 species
UCAGGUCAUUUAAGGACUUCUCUACACUGAUUAUUCUAGUUAGCCAUUCGUCUAAUCUUUUUUCAAGGUUUUUAGCUUCUUUGCAAUGGGUUUGAACUUCCUCCUUUAGCUUGGAGAAGUUUGAUCGUCUGAGGCCUUCUUCUGUCAACUCAUCAAAGUCAUUCUCCAUCCAGGACUCGACUCUCUUUGGCCUACUGGAUGUACAGGAAGUGGUAAAAGCUGUAUGGUGUCUCCUUAGGAAUUGAAAGGCCUUGGGCAAAUCAAUCAGGUCCUGGCUUUCCACAUCAGCAAGUCAAGAUAAUCAUGUUGGCUAAACUUAUUUGAAUACCAUCUGGAUUCACUUACUGGCAAGUGUAAAGUGUUUUCAGAAUACCAAAUAUUAUAUAGGGCAUCCAAGCAGCUUAAAUUUCAGUGCCCUCCAUUCCUUCCCUUCCUGUACUUCAGUCUACUACUGAAUGCAAUGAGAUAUAAUAAAACCAAG